UACAGAGGGGGCAAGCGUUAUUCGGAAUUAUUGGACGUAAAGGGCGCGUAGGCGGCUUUGCAAGUGACGGGUGAAAUCCCUCGGCUUAACCGAGGAACUGCCUGUCAAACUGCAUGGCUUGAGACCGGGAGAGGUGAGUGGAAUUCCCCAGUGUAGCGGUGAAAUGCGUAGAUAUUGGGAGGAACACCAGUGGCGAAGGCGGCUCACUGGACCGGUACUGACGCUGAGGCGCGAAAGCGUGGGGAGCAAACAGG
rnacentral:rRNA from 1 species